rnacentral:rRNA from 1 species
GCUCAGGUUCCGCUGCCUGGCGAACUGCUGAGUAACACGUAGCCAACCUACCCUGGGGAGGGGGAUAAUCCCGGGAAACUGGGGCUAAUCCCCCAUAGCCCUAGGGUACUGGAAUGUCCCUAGGGUGAAAGGCCCUUGGAGGGAAACCCUCCUUGGGUGCCCCAGGAUGGGGCUGCGGCCCAUCAGGUUGUUGCCGGGGUAACGUCCCGGCAAGCCCAUAACGGGUAGGGGCCGUGAGAGCGGGAGCCCCCAGAUGCCCUCUGAGACAUGAGGGCAGGGCCUACGGGUCGCAGCAGGCGCGAAACCUUCGCAAUGCGCGCAAGCGCGACGAGGUCAGGCGGAGUGGUGUCGCUCUGCGGCACCUUUUCCCGAGGGUAAACACCUCGGGGAAUAAGGGGUGGGCAAGACGGGUGCCAGCCGCCACGGUAAUACCCGCGCCCCGAGUGGUGGCCGCGAUUAUUGGGCCUAAAGCGCCCGUAGCCGGGUAGGCAAGUUCACCGUGAAAUCCGCGCGUAAACGCGCGGGCGUGCGGUGAAGACUGCCUACCUUGGGACCGGGAGAGGCCGGAGGUAUUCCCGGGGUAGGGGUAAAAUCCUUUAAUCCCGGGAGGACCACCUGUGGCGAAGGCGUCCGGCUGGAACGGGUCCGACGGUGAGGGGCGAAAGCCAGGGGAGCGAACCGGAUUAGAUACCCGGGUAGUCCUGGCUGUAAACCAUGCCCGCUUGGUGUUGGGAGUGCCACGAGCACUCCCAGUGCCGGAGCGAAGGUGUUAAGCGGGCCGCCUGGGGAGUACGGCCGCAAGGCUGAAACUUAAAGGAAUUGGCGGGGGAGCACACAAGGGAUGGAGGCUGCGGUUCAAUCGGACUCAACGCCGUGAACCUUACCGGGGGCGACGGCACGAUGAAGGUCAGCCUGAAGGGCUUACCAGAGGAGCCGAGAGGAGUUGCAUGGCCGUCGUCAGCUCGUACCGUGAGGCGUCCUGUUAAGUCAGGUAACGAGCGAGACCCGCGCCCCCAGUUGGUACCUAGUGCUACGGCACUAGGCCACUCUGGGGGGACCGCUGCCGCUAAGGCAGAGGAAGGUGCGGGCAACGGCAGGUCGGUAUGGCCCGAAUCCCCCGGGCUGCACGCGGCCUACAAAGCGCGGGACAAUGGGUUGCGACCCCGAAAGGGGGAGCUAAUCCCCUAAACCCGCGCGUAGUUCGGAUUGAGGGCUGCAACUCGCCCUCAUGAAGCCGGAAUCCCUAGUAGGCGAACGUUAGCAUCGUUCGCCGAAUACGUCCCUGCUCCUUGCACACACCGCC